rnacentral:rRNA from 1 species
GACGAACGCUGGCGGCGUGCUUAACACAUGCCAGUCGAACGGAAAGGCCUUUUCGGAGGUACUCGAGUGGCGAACGGGUGAGUAACACGUGGGUGAUCUGCCCUGCACUCUGGGAUAAGCCUGGGAAACUGGGUCUAAUACCGGAUAGGACCGCACUUUAGUGUGUGUGGUGGAAAGUUUUUUCGGUGUAGGAUGAGCCCGCGGCCUAUCAGCUUGUUGGUGGGGUAAUGGCCUACCAAGGCGGCGACGGGUAGCCGGACUGAGAGGUUGGUCGGCCACAUUGGGACUGAGAUACGGCCCAGACUCCUACGGGAGGCAGCAGUGGGGAAUAUUGCACAAUGGGCGCAAGCCUGAUGCAGCGACGCCGCGUGGGGGAUGACGGCCUUCGGGUUGUAAACUCCGUUCGCCAGGGACGAAGCGUUUUGUGACGGUACCUGGAGAAGAAGCACCGGCUAACUACGUG